UACGUAGGGGGCAAGCGUUGUCCGGAUUUAUUGGGCGUAAAGCGUGCGUAGGCGGUUCGUUAAGUCUGUUGUGAAAGCCCCGGGCUCAACCUGGGAAUGGCAAUGGAUACUGGCGAGCUAGAGUGUGUCAGAGGAUGGUGGAAUUCCCGGUGUAGCGGUGAAAUGCGUAGAGAUCGGGAGGAACAUCAGUGGCGAAGGCGGCCAUCUGGGACAACACUGACGCUGAGGCACGAAAGCGUGGGGAGCGAUCCGGG
rnacentral:rRNA from 1 species